GGUUCAGAACGAACGCUGGUGGCGUGUCUUAUACAUGCAAGUCGAGCGAGGCAGCAAUGCCGAGCGGCGAACGGGUGAGUAACGCGUAAGCAAUCUGCCCCAUAUCAGGAAAUACCCGUGCCAACGCGCGGUUAAUGUCCAGGAGAGUGGCCCUCUGCAUGGAGGGUUGACUAGAGAUUUAUCGGUAUGGGAUGAGCUUGCGUCCGAUUAGCUAGUUGGCGGGGCAACGGCCCACCAAGGCGACGAUCGGUAGCCGGCCUGAGAGGGUGAUCGGCCACAUUGGGACUGAGAUACGGCCCAGACUCCUACGGGAGGCAGCAGUAGGGAAUAUUGCACAAUGGGGGAAACCCUGAUGCAGCAACGCCACGUGUGGGAAGAAGCAUUUCGGUGUGUAAACCACUGUCAUGAGGGAAUAAGGCCCUUAUUCGUAAGGGACUUGAAUGUACCUUGAGAGGAAGCACCGGCAAACUUCGUGCCAGCAGCGGC
rnacentral:rRNA from 1 species